rnacentral:rRNA from 1 species
NUUGACCUCAAAUCAGGUAGGAGUACCCGCUGAACUUAAGCAUAUCAAUAAGCGGAGGAAAAGAAACCAACCGGGAUUGCCUUAGUAACGGCGAGUGAAGCGGCAAAAGCUCAAAUUUGAAAUCUGGUACCUUCGGUGCCCGAGUUGUAAUUUGGAGAGGGCAACUUUGGGGCCGUUCCUUGUCUAUGUUCCUUGGAACAGGACGUCAUAGAGGGUGAGAAUCCCGUGUGGCGAGGAGUGCGGUUCUUUGUAAAGUGCCUUCGAAGAGUCGAGUUGUUUGGGAAUGCAGCUCUAAGUGGGUGGUAAAUUCCAUCUAAAGCUAAAUAUUGGCGAGAGACCGAUAGCGAACAAGUACAGUGAUGGAAAGA